GGCCCGAAACGAGACAUUCCACCCUCACUUAAGAAAAAAACGAAAAAAUAACUGGGAGGGGGGGGACCUAAAAGCUGUUUCUCGGGGGGUUUGCAUGAUUGCACAAUGGCACAAAGAACAAUACCUUUUUAUGACUAUCGCCACAACACAUUCUGCGACUUUGGCCAACUAUCCUGUUGUUCAAUUUCGAAGCAAACUCGCCAUCCGCUUAAAAUACACACAUCGAGAACUUUCAUU
rnacentral:lncRNA from 1 species